rnacentral:sRNA from 1 species
AUGACAAAUAAUAAAAAAUUCUUGAUGAGAAGAUCAGAUUCUCUCAAAUGCUCUCCCAUGUGACAUGUGUGGAGAUGAUGAAUUUAUUAAUCUUCCUUGUAUCAUUGACCUAUUAUUGCUCU